UGGUCUGCAACUGACGCUGAGACUCGAAAGCAUGGGUAGCGAACAGGAUUAGAUACCCUGGUAGUCCAUGCCGUAAACGAUGAGUGCUAGGUGUUGGAGGGUUUCCGCCCUUCAGUGCCGGAGCUAACGCAUUAAGCACUCCGCCUGGGGAGUACGACCGCAAGGUUGAAACUCAAAGGAAUUGACGGGGGCCCGCACAAGCGGUGGAGCAUGUGGUUUAAUUCGAAGCUACGCGAAGAACCUUACCAGGUCUUGACAUCUUGCGCCAACCCUAGAGAUAGGGCGUUUCCUUCGGGAACGCAAUGACAGGUGGUGCAUGGUCGUCGUCAGCUCGUGUCGUGAGAUGUUGGGUUAAGUCCCGCAACGAGCGCAACCCUUGUUACUAGUUGCCAGCAUUAAGUUGGGCACUCUAGUGAGACUGCCGGUGACAAACCGGAGGAAGGUGGGGACGACGUCAGAUCAUCAUGCCCCUUAUGACCUGGGCUACACACGUGCUACAAUGGACGGUACAACGAGUCGCGAACUCGCGAGGGCAAGCAAAUCUCUUAAAACCGUUCUCAGUUCGGACUGCAGGCUGCAACUCGCCUGCACGA
rnacentral:rRNA from 2 species